rnacentral:snRNA from 1 species
AUGCUCGCUUCAGCAGCACAUACACUAAAAUUGGAAUAAUGCAGAGAAAGUUAGCAUGGUCUCUGUGUGAAAAUGACACAGAAAUUCAUGAAGUGUUCCACAUUCUG